GACGAACGCUGGCGGCGUGCCUAAUACAUGCAAGUAGAACGCUGAAGGAGGAGCUUGCUUCUCCGGAUGAGUUGCGAACGGGUGAGUAACGCGUAGGUAACCUGCCUGGUAGCGGGGGAUAACUAUUGGAAACGAUAGCUAAUACCGCAUAACAGUAGAUAUCGCAUGAUAUCUGCUUGAAAGGUGCAAUUGCAUCACUACCAGAUGGACCUGCGUUGUAUUAGCUAGUUGGUGAGGUAACGGCUCACCAAGGCGACGAUACAUAGCCGACCUGAGAGGGUGAUCGGCCACACUGGGACUGAGACACGGCCCAGACUCCUACGGGAGGCAGCAGUAGGGAAUCUUCGGCAAUGGACGGAAGUCUGACCGAGCAACGCCGCGGGAGUGAAGAAGGUUUUCGGAUCGUAAAGCUCUGUUGUAAGAGAAGAACGAGUGUGAGGGUGGAAAGUUCACACUGUGACGUUAUCUGAACAGAAAGGGACGGCUAACUACGUG
rnacentral:rRNA from 1 species